UACGUAGGGGGCAAGCGUUGUCCGGAAUCAUUGGGCGUAAAGCGCGCGUAGGCGGCCUCACAAGUCCGCUGUAAAAGUCAAAGGCUCAACCUUUGAAUGCCAGUGGAAACUGUGAGGCUAGAGUCCGGAAGAGGCGAGUGGAAUUCCUGGUGUAGCGGUGGAAUGCGCAGAUAUCAGGAGGAACACCAACGGCGAAGGCAGCUCGCUGGGACGGUACUGACGCUGAGGCGCGAAAGCGUGGGGAGCAAACAGG
rnacentral:rRNA from 1 species